UGAAUUCAUCAAUCGAACCUUGUCUUC
rnacentral:piRNA from 1 species